UACAGAGGUCUCAAGCGUUGUUCGGAUUCAUUGGGCGUAAAGCGCACGUAGGCGGCCUAGCAAGUCGGGUGUGAAAUCCCUCGGCUUAACCGAGGAAGUGCAUUCGAAACUACUGGGCUUGAAUACUCAAGAGGGUCUCGGAAUUCCCGGUGUAGAGGUGAAAUUCGUAGAUAUCGGGAGGAACACCAGUGGCGAAGGCGGAGACCUGGGGAGAUAUUGACGCUGAGGUGCGAAAGCGUGGGGAGCAAACAGG
rnacentral:rRNA from 1 species